GGGGACAGAGGGAGGGAGAGGGGAGGGGCCGGGCCUCAGGCCGCGGUCGGCGCCCCCCGCCCGCCCCCUCCGGACAAUAAGCUGCCUUUUAAAGGGCCACUCCGGGCGCCGGCACCGCCAGGUCCGCGAGGAGGGAGGGGCGCGCGCGGCGCUGGGGCUGCGGCGAGCGGGACUCCCCUGACGCUCCAGCUGCACCGCCCCGGGGCGGGGACUAAUCCGCCGGCCUGGCGUCUUGGUCUUCCCCGCAAGCAGUAAUCUCCUGCAACCCAGGAAAGGAGACUAGGUGGAGGAGAGGAGUGCUUUCGAAAUCAAAGAGAAAGUGCGGCGAAGGGGGCGCGGCCCUGAACAGAGGAGCCGCGGCUGCUGGGAGAACGCGCCCGGAGCCCCCUCCUUUUCCAGGGGCUCACCUCCCGCCCGGUGCCCGGUGCCCGGUGCCCGACGCUCCGCCUCCUCCCAGCCUUCGGCCCUCGGGUUUUCGCCCGGAUACCCUAGGCGCCUCCGGGACAUCUCCACAUCUUUGCCUACGGCGCCUAGCCCAGUACCAACCGGUGCUUGGUCUUCCCGUUCGCUAAAAAUUUAUUAUAAUAACAACAACCUAGCAUUACUGAGUGCUUACUGUGUACUAAGUGACUUGACAGGCAUUAUUUCAUUCGGUCUCCGUGGCCCUAGAGUUGAUCUUUGAACAACAUGAGUUUGACCUGCAUGGAUCCACAUAUACGUGAAUUUCCUUCCGCCUCUACCACUCCUGAGACAGCGAGACAAACCUCUCCUCUUCCUCUUCCUCUUCCUCCUCAGCCUACUCAGUGUGAAGACCUUUAUGAUGAUCCAUGUCCACUGAAUGAAUAGACCUCACGAAGCCAGACCGUAAGAUCUACAGGGGCUCUCAGACACCACCCCAUCCAACAGCUCGAAGAAGGAACCAGAGAAGACUAGAAACAGGAUGGAACGGGAAGGUGGAGGGAGAGGCGAAGGGGAAGUCUCGAUGCUGACUACAAGGCCCCCUCAUCCUCCGGCCUCCGGCUUGCAGGGACUGCCCCUGCCUUGGGAGAGUCCUCACAGGCCACACCUGCCACUGGGCCAGGCCCAGAGCAGACACUCACGACAGAUGAUAAGAAUGACAGCUGCCUGCGUUUGAGCAGGCACUCUAGGUGACUGUUGUACACAGUGCUUUUCAAGCAUAAUCUACCCUAACCUUCACACCAGCCCUGUGGGGUAGGUGAAUCUCACCCCAUCUUACAGAGGAGGAAACAGGGGUUUGGAGUGGUUGAGUGACUUGCUGUCAGACAAGUCUAAAUCUGACAGCAACGCCUGUGUUUGGAUCCCAUGCCAGAGACUGCGAGCUAGCCCCAGGCUGGUUCCAGGCUGUACACAGGUUUCACUUGAUUCACACACAUGGGGCCUCCUCAGAGUUUUAAAUUUUAUUUGUUGUCAACAUUUAGCAAUCAGAAGAGUUAACAUUAAAUCUCACAUUUCUGAA